rnacentral:rRNA from 1 species
UGGCUUUACCCGAAGGCGUUUCGCUAACCGCAAGGAGGCAGACGACCACCGUAGGGUCAGCGACUGGGGUGAAGUCGUAACAAGGUAGCCGUAGGUGAACCUGCAGAAGGAUCA